rnacentral:rRNA from 1 species
UGGGGAAUAUUGCACAAUGGGCGAAAGCCUGAUGCAGCAACGCCGCGUGAGUGAUGAAGGCCUUCGGGUUGUAAAGCUCUGUCUUCUGGGACGAUAAUGACGGUACCAGAGGAGGAAGCCACGGCUAACUACGUGCCAGCAGCCGCGGUAAUACGUAGGUGGCAAGCGUUGUCCGGAUUUACUGGGUGUAAAGGGCGCGCAGGCGGGAUAAAAAGUCAGUGGUGAAAUCCUACAGCUUAACUGUAGAACUGCCUUUGAUACUUUUAUUCUUGAGUUCGGGAGAGAGAGACGGAAUUCCAGGUGUAGUGGUGAAAUACGUAGAUAUCUGGAAGAACACCAGUUGCGAAGGCGGUCUCUUGGUCCGACACUGACGCUGAGGCGCGAAAGCGUGGGGAGCAAAC